UCUGGGGCCCCGUUGCGAACUGGGGAUUCGUCGUUGGGCUUGUGGAUCUCAACAGAUGUCGGGCAACAUGACAAGUGUACUCGCUCUUGUUUAUGAGAUUCGCGUGGAUGGUCCAGCCUCGGAUUUAUCUGCUCUUCUUGUGCCAUGCCGCAAACGAGCUCUAUCACUUGGCGAGCCACCAGUUAAGUUUCUCGCUUGGUUUCUCGC